AAGGAACCUUCGGGUUCUGAGUAGAGCGGCGCACGGGUGAGUAACACGUGGGUAACCUACCCUCGAGCGGGGGAUAACCUUCCGAAAGGAAGGCUAAUACCGCAUGAGACCACGCGCUCUUCGGAGCGAGCGGUCAAAGCUGGCCUCUCCAUGGAAGCUAGCGCUCGAGGAUGGGCCCGCGGUCCAUCAGCUUGAUGGUGAGGUAACGGCUCACCAUGGCGAAGACGGAUAGCUGGCCUGAGAGGGUGGCCAGCCACACUGGCACUGGUACACGGGCCAGACUCCUACGGGAGGCAGCAGUGAGGAAUAUUGGGCAAUGGGCGCAAGCCUGACCCAGCGACGCCGUGUGAGUGAUGAAGGCCUUCGGGUUGUAAAGCUCUGUGGGAGGGGACGAAAAUGGCCGUUCCAAAUAGGCUCGGCCCUUGACGGUACCCUCUUAGCAAGCACCGGCUAACUCUGUGCCAGCAGCCGCGGUAAGACAGAGGGUGCAAACGUUGCUCGGAAUCACUGGGCGUAAAGCGCGUGUAGGCGGGUCGACAAGUCGGGUGUGAAAGCCCUGGGCUCAACCCAGGAUCUGCAUUCGAAACUGUCGGUCUUGAGUGUCGGAGAGAGAGGCGGAAUUCCAGGUGUAGAGGUGAAAUUCGUAGAUAUCUGGAGGAACACCAGUGGCGAAGGCGGCCUCCUGGACGACGACUGACGCUGA
rnacentral:rRNA from 1 species